rnacentral:lncRNA from 1 species
GCCCUGAGGGCCAGAGCCCUUAGGACAGCACCAGCCCGCCUCCUGCCCUCAGGUCAUCUUUUCUCCGCGCCCAGCCUCCUCACCACCUUCCCGAUUAAAAUUUCAGCCUUCGAUCCCCGCUGCCUCCCGCUCCCGGCUCCGACCUCCUACCCCCCCGGCCUCAGCGCCUCCGCCUGGGCCUCCCGCCCCUCUCCUCCCCCGGCUCAGCGACCCGUGUCAAGCCUCCUGCUACCAGGCUUCAGCGACCCGACCCGGGUCUCCCGACACCCCCCAUUCUCGGCCCGGCCACCUGUCCCCCGGGCUCGGCGUCUCCGGCUGGGUCUCCGCUCCCCAGCCUCCCGCUGUCCGCCCUCCAUAUCCCACGCGGGUCUCCCACCACCCCCGGCCCAGCCUCUCGAUCCUCGGUCCGGCCUCCCGUCCCCCAGGCUCGGCGUCUCCAGCCGGAUCUCUGCUCCGCGGCCCGGCCUCCCGUCCCUGGGCCGGGUCUCUCGAUCUGCGGGCUUCAGGGCUCGUCCCUGCCCCCGUUGUCGCGCCAAAACAAAGGAUCCGCCGCCCGGACCAGGUCAGUCCCCUCCUUCUCCCCGGGGCAGCUGCAGGCCGGUGCAGGCCCCCGGGGCAGGCGCUGAGCUUGGGAGAGUGGAGGGAACCAGCCCAGGACCUAUGGCGCCAAAGCGAGAAGCGUCGAGGGCAUAUCUCACCUCUCAGCCCCCACGCCGUUGCCACCGACUCGCUCUGCUGGGAUCGGUUCCUGCUCUGCUUCCGCCGCAGCCGCGCUCAGAGGUAGGCGCCCGAGCAGGCCCCGCCCCCUCUGGCCCCACCCCGGCCCCUCCCAUCAGCUCUGCAAGCUCAGCGCCGCGCCGACACGUCAGUCAGGCCCCGGCUCCCUCUGCCCGAGAACACCGCCCCCUCACAGGCCCCGCCCCUCCCGAGCACACCGCUCCGCCCGAGAACACCGCCCCUUCACGGGUCCCGCCGCGCCUGAGAACGCCGCUCAGCCCGAGAGCACCGCCCACUCACGGGUCCCGGGAGCUCCUGGCUUCCAGGCACGCUUCCGGGCCAUUCUAG